rnacentral:antisense_RNA from 1 species
AUUCUAAGCUAAUUUAGUUGGUAUAAUGUGGUCCCUCAAGGGUAGUUUCAGGUGCAUUCACUUGGCCUCUAUGAAGGAUGAACAUUUCCUAUGAGUUUUCCACUUGUGUUUUAUCCUUGCCUUUGCUUCAGUUUCCUGUGAGACAAAUUGGAGUUUGACAUCCCUCCUCAAGAUGCCUCCUCCAAGACCAGAGCUCCCUGUGGCUGAGCUGUGUGUGCACAGAGCACCUUUCUCUCUCCUUGGGAAGCCCUUUGAAUGUAGAAACUCUGCAUUCCUCACUCCUGUGCCCUCCGUCUCCCCAGUGGCUAGGACUUAACACCAAAGGGUGCUCAGGAAACAAAUGGAAGCAGGGCACUAACCAACUCCAGGAGGACUGGGAGCAUGUUUCCUGCUGAAUCCCUGCCAUCUUGACCACUGCCUGGCAAGAGAAGACACUCUACCAACAUUUUUUUAGUGCUGAAUCCCUUGGAGGGUGUGAGGCAAGGCCACCUGAGACACAGUCGGUGCUAGGUUCCUGGAGGCAGAGCUGAGGGGA